rnacentral:rRNA from 1 species
AACAGGAUUAGAUACCCUGGUAGUCCACGCCCUAAACGAUGUCUACUAGUUGUCGGGUUUUAAUUAACUUGGUAACGCAGCUAACGCGUGAAGUAGACCGCCUGGGGAGUACGGUCGCAAGAUUAAAACUCAAAGGAAUUGACGGGGACCCGCACAAGCGGUGGAUGAUGUGGAUUAAUUCGAUGCAACGCGAAAAACCUUACCUACCCUUGACAUGUACGGAAGACCGAAGAGAUUUGGUUGUGCUCGAAAGAGAACCGUAACACAGGUGCUGCAUGGCUGUCGUCAGCUCGUGUCGUGAGAUGUUGGGUUAAGUCCCGCAACGAGCGCAACCCUUGUCAUUAGUUGCUACAUUUAGUUGAGCACUCUAAUGAGACUGCCGGUGACAAACCGGAGGAAGGUGGGGAUGACGUCAAGUCCUCAUGGCCCUUAUGGGUAGGGCUUCACACGUCAUACAAUGGUACAUACAGAGGGCCGCCAACCCGCGAGGGGGAGCUAAUCCCAGAAAGUGUAUCGUAGUCCGGAUCGCAGUCUGCAACUCGACUGCGUGAAGUUGGAAUCGCUAGUAAUCGCGGAUCAGCAUGUCGCGGUGAAUACGUUCCCGGGUCUUGUACACACCGCCCGUCACACCAUGGGAGCGGGUUUUACCAGAAGUAGGUAGCUUAACCGCAAGGAGGGCGCUUACCACGGUAGGAUUCGUGACUGGGGUGAAGUCGUAACAAGGUAACC